ACAAGGCACUGAUGGGCUUUACCUGAGGGCAAGUGAUUGCUGGCCUGAGGGGGUAGAACAUAUAGGGAAGUGGGGUUUUCUCUCCUUGCUCUGCCUGCUAAUGGGCCUGGACCAAACAAGGACUGCCAUGUAGAGCCAAACCUGCAAUGCCCAAGGCAGAUAAAAGCCGGUUGUUUUGAAUCGUGAGGAGGCACACAGAAGUUACAUACAGAACUCAGCAAGCAAGGAGCACAGAGAAACACAAUGGACAUGCUGAUUCAGCACAGGGUAAGCUGAAGGAUACAGAGGGAAGUACUUGGAGCAGAAGCUGCAGGAGAGCAGCACUUGAAAGCAGCAGAAGUCAGCAGUACUUGGAAGCAGAAAGAAGAAGCAUCAGCAGAACAACAUCCCUUGACCAGCAGAACAAUAUUGGACCCUGAGUGGAGAUCAGCUGAGAUAUUCACUUGCCUGAGACUGAGGCGUAAUUUCUUGGAUAUGGUCUGCAGCGCCUCUUGCUUUCUGCUGUAAUUUCUACCCCAUCAAUGGGCCACAGGCCGUCAUCUGUUGUGGGUGUCAUCUCUGUUGUCGGUCACCUUCUCAUCUGUUUCAGCUCCCUGUAUUCCCCAAUGUUGACUUUGAUGAACUAAAUUCUUUACUCUUUUAACUUCCA